rnacentral:rRNA from 1 species
GAUGAACGCUGGCGGCGUGCCUAAUACAUGCAAGUCGAGCGAACAGACGAGGAGCUUGCUCCUCUGACGUUAGCGGCGGACGGGUGAGUAACACGUGGAUAACCUACCUAUAAGACUGGGAUAACUUCGGGAAACCGGAGCUAAUACCGGAUAAUAUAUUGAACCGCAUGGUUCAAUAGUGAAAGACGGUUUUGCUGUCACUUAUAGAUGGAUCCGCGCCGCAUUAGCUAGUUGGUAAGGUAACGGCUUACCAAGGCAACGAUGCGUAGCCGACCGGAGGGGGGGAUAGGCCCAACUGGAAUGGGAGACGGGCCCGAACUCCAACGGGGGGAAGAAGGGGGAAAAUUUGCGAAAGGGGGGAAAGCUUAACGGACCAACCCGGGGGGGGGGAUAAGGGCUUUGGGUUGGAAAACCUUUUUUUUUGGGAAAAAAAAAAGGAGGAAAAAACUACGCAGUUCUUGAGGGACCCAAAUAAAAAAGCCAGGGCAAAUUAGUG